rnacentral:rRNA from 1 species
GGGUUGUAAACUGCUUUUGUAUGGGAAUAAACCCUUCUACGUGUGGAAGGCUGAAGGUACCAUAAGAAUAAGCACCGGCUAACUCCGUGCCAGCAGCCGCGGUAAUACGGAGGGUGCAAGCGUUAUCCGGAUUUAUUGGGUUUAAAGGGUCCGUAGGCGGGCCGAUAAGUCAGUGGUGAAAGCCCAUAGCUCAACUAUGGAACUGCCAUUGAUACUGUCGGUCUUGAGUAUAUGUGAUGUUGGCGGAAUGUGUAGUGUAGCGGUGAAAUGCUUAGAUAUUACACAGAACACCGAUUGCGAAGGCAGCUGACAAAUAUAUAACUGACGCUGAGGGACGAAAGUGUGGGGAUCAAACAGGAUUAGAUACCCUGGUAGUCCACACCGUAAACGAUGAUUACUAGAUUUUGGCCUUAUGGUCAGAGUCCAAGCGAAAGUGUUAAGUAAUCCACCUGGGGAGUACGUCCGCAAGGAUGAAACUCAAAGGAAUUGAC